rnacentral:rRNA from 1 species
GCCUACGGGGGGCAGCAGUGGGGGAUAUUGGACAAUGGGGGAAACCCUGAUCCAGCGAUGCCGCGUGAGGGAAGAAGGUUUUCGGAUUGUAAACCUCUGUGGAGGGGGACGAUAAUGACGGUACCCCUUUAGGAAGCCACGGCUAACUACGUGCCAGCAGCCGCGGUAAUACGUAUGGAGCAAGCGUUAUCCGGAUUUACUGGGUGUAAGGGGAGCGCAGACGGCAGGGCAAGUCUGAUGUGAAAGUCCGGGGCUCAACCCCGGGACUGCAUUGGAAACUGUCCGGCUAGAGUGCAGGAGAGGUA